rnacentral:lncRNA from 13 species
UGAAAUCACAGAUGAAUGAUUUCUAGUAAUAUUAUGCACAUUUACGAAAAAUACAUCAAACUAUUCAAGAGUGAAUCCAAUAUGUUUUAGUAAAAGGAUAAUGAUGACACAAGCUAACAGUGAUAGGGAACAUACUAGAUUACACUGCCAAGGUUAGUUACAUUGUCAGGGUUAGUUACACUUCCAGGGUUAGUUACACUGCCAGGGUUGGUUACACUGCCAAUGUUAGUUACACUGCCAGGGUUAGUUACACUGCCAGGGUCGGUUACACUGCCAAUGUUAGUUACACUGCCAGGGUUAGGGUUAGUUACACUGACAGGGUUAGAGUUAGUUACACUGCCAGGGUUNNNNNNNNNNCCCUGUAAAACACAGUAGCCAGGAAACCAGCCCAGACUGAUUAUCAAAACAGAUGAUCACUCAACUUAGAUUUUUUUUCUCCGCAAGCAUAAACAAAGAUGGUAGCCAUGGAUUUCUGUCAAAAUAAACAGCAAGGUUGUAUAAUUCAAACACUGUGUACAUUGAGACGUCUGAGUGUUGAGGCAAGCUGUCCACCAUGUAGAAGUACUAAAGAAGUACACUGAAGGUCCAUUUGACUUUAUGGCGUCCAUGUUGAAAUCAGCAUGCUAGAUAGAUUUGGAUUUUCCCACACAGUCAUCUCUCACUUUGGCUUUAUAUUCAUAGGUACUGUAUCAACAAACAAACAAAUAUAUGUUUUCUUGCUUUAUUGAUUAAGUAUAGACAACAAAAAAAAGUUUAUUUCCCAGACAAUAUAACACGAUGUAAUUUGUUGUAAAAGUGAGCAUGUAUAAAGCUUUACAGACUAGUUAGCUCUGGGAUUCACCUUUAGUCAAAUGCUACCACUUCAAAACAUAGUGUGAUUGCUGAGAAAAACAGAAGAACCAAUGCAAUGUUCUCUCCAAUGCACAGAGUGGGGCUUUGGGAGGUAACUAAGGGGUGUUGUUAGGGUUAUUGGUGACUCAGAGUUAUGGGUUUCUCCCCUCAAGUGACCUGUAACCUCUCUAGCACCAGCAGCACCACGUCCCCAUGGCCUACAUCUGAACCCAUUACCUUUCGGCUGCUAAUCCAACACUCUAACCACUAGGGUAGCCUAGUGGUUAGAGUGUAGAGGCGGCAGGGUAGCCUAGUGGUCAGAGUGUAGAGGCGGCAGGGUAGCCUAGUGGUUAGANNNNNNNNNNGACUCAGCAACAAAGCGGAUGACUCAAUGAUUCACGGACGAGUCAUUUCCUAAGUCAUUUCGCAAUUUUACAUCAAACUAAGAUUUUUGGUGCAGUAUUUCUAAAUGAAAACAAAAUGUGAUUGAAAACGAGUCGUCUCACGUUGAAUGACAACAACGUCUUUAUUGAAGAAUCGCUACUGUUGACGAAUCACCAACGGAGGGGUGUAUACCUUGGCUACUGACUUCGGCUUCAAGAAAACAAUGUUGUGUGCUCGAAGUCCAAAACGAACAGAAAUGUCAUCAUAAUAUAUGUAAAUAUAUGCACAAACUCUUUCAGCUGGGAGGCUUGCAGACACCUUUCUGCUGUCAAAUUCACAUUUGAUUUAUUUAUACCAGGCAAAUCAGUUAAGAACAAAUUCUCAUUUACAAUGACGGCCUAGGAACAGUGGGUUAACUGCCUUGUUUAGGGUCAGAACAACAGAUUUUUACCUGGUCAGCUC